rnacentral:rRNA from 1 species
GCCUAACACAUGCAAGUCGAACGGGAAUCUUCGGAUUCUAGUGGCGGACGGGUGAGUAACGCGUAAGAAUCUAACUUCAGGACGGGGACAACAGUUGGAAACGACUGCUAAUACCCGAUGUGCCGCAAGGUGAAAACUAAUUGGCCUGAAGAAGAGCUUGCGUCUGAUUAGCUAGUUGGUGGGGUAAGAGCCUACCAAGGCGACGAUCAGUAGCUGGUCUGAGAGGAUGAGCAGCCACACUGGGACUGAGACACGGCCCAGACUCCUACGGGAGGCAGCAGUGGGGAAUUUUCCGCAAUGGGCGAAAGCCUGACGGAGCAACGCCGCGUGAGGGAGGAAGGUCUUUGGAUUGUAAACCUCUUUUCUCAAGGAAGAAGUUCUGACGGUACUUGAGGAAUCAGCCUCGGCUAACUCCGUGCCAGCAGCCGCGGUAAUACGGGGGAGGCAAGCGUUAUCCGGAAUUAUUGGGCGUAAAGCGUCCGCAGGUGGUCAGCCAAGUCUGCCGUCAAAUCAGGUUGCUUAACGACCUAAAGGCGGUGGAAACUGGCAGACUAGAGAGCAGUAGGGGUAGCAGGAAUUCCCAGUGUAGCGGUGAAAUGCGUAGAGAUUGGGAAGAACAUCGGUGGCGAAAGCGUGCUACUGGGCUGUAUCUGACACUCAGGGACGAAAGCUAGGGGAGCGAAAGGGAUUAGAUACCCCUGUAGUCCUAGCCGUAAACGAUGGAUACUAGGCGUGGCUUGUAUCGACCCGA